UAGAUGGCUGAGUUUGGUUUAAGGCGUAUGUUUUGAAAACAUAUUAAUUCUUUGAAUUACGCAAGUUCAAAUCUUGCU
rnacentral:tRNA from 1 species